ACAGCCAUACCACGUUGAAACACCAGUUCUUGUACGAUCAGCGAGGUUAAGCAACGUUGAGUUUAAUCAUUACCUAGAUGGGUGAUCGCUUAGGAAUACAAGGUGCUGUAA